UCUUGUCGGUGACACCCCAAGCCAUUACAAAAAUGUUUGCCCAUGCCCCUUGACUAUGUGGAGCCCUCACCCUGUUCCAUCUCACAACACCACACCUUUGCUUUCUUACUUGUUAUGCUCUUAAGACAAAACAGGAUUCCGGGGCGUAAUGUUGAUGUCCCCAGGUGGUGCUCGUCACCGUCACACCUAGCUGGAUCUUUACACUUGUCCCAAUCUGGGUGGACCAUUUCCAGCGACUUCCAAUUCGAGAAUGCCC
rnacentral:lncRNA from 1 species